UGAAAUAGUUAGCCUCCCACGCCAUCACCGAUUGUACCAGUCCACCAAAACCAAUGGAUUCCGACAAUUGGAUCUUGCUUGAUUCUCCCAAUUGACUACGAGAAGUUGACGAUCUCUCCUUUUGGUCGUCUGAAUUGGUUGUUUUCUAGUCGAAAAUUCUCAACUCACCCGAAUCAACUCUUUUACUCUCUGGUUUCUUGUCGCAUACAUUUCGGAUGGUGUCCUUAUCCGAAUUGUCUUCCUCUACCAUAAGAACCGCCCGGAACUGAUGCAAAUUCAACCACCCAAAUGCUGGUGUUUCUUAUUUUCUUAUUGCCCUUUUGGCUGUCAGAUAAUUACAGAAGGAGAUCCUGCGCCAGGGAUGCUGUUCAUGGUUCGCGGCCGCAUCAAACGAAGCAAAGCAUGAGAAAAGCCAUGGUAGCCACAAGUGUGCUAGAACCAGGAGGGUUUCUGGGCAAUGAGCUACUCUCCUGGCGCCUUCGCCGCCCUUUUAUCUAACACCUUCCAGCCUCAUCUGCAACAUUUGUGUGUAUGGAGACAAGAGAAGCAUUUGAUCUCGAUGCAGACAGUCUCAAAUACAUCUCAGAUAAUUUUCGCUAAAAAUUUGAGAGUGAGAAGCUCAGAAGAACGGCAAGAUACUCCUCAUCGUAUUGAAGAACUUGGGCAGCGGUGAACAUCCAAUUUCGCUUGGCAAAAAUACAGGAUGAGGACUAGGAAUCCUGUGAUUCCUGUAAUUGAAAAUGGCAGAAGCAAUGAGAACAUGCUCCUCAAAUAUGCUGCUAUGUUCAUGUCGUUUAGACCACAUGAUCAUCUCAUCUUUAACUAAGAGCUAGUUAGCCUUGUAUUUUUCAGUUCUUCAUUCUCUGGUGGUCAUCUUCAUUGCUCAAUAAAGCUCUGUCUCUCUAGGUUGGAAAUUGGUCAUGGAACUCUCAGAACUUUUGUAUUAAUUUUAGAUGAAAGAAUGAACAAAACAAAAUUUUUGAUUCUC